CCUACGGGAGGCAGCAGUGGGGAAUUUUGGACAAUGGGCGAAAGCCUGAUCCAGCCAUGCCGCGUGCAGGAUGAAAGCCUUCGGGUUGUAAACUGCUUUUGUACGGAACGAAACGGCCUUUUCUAAUAAAGAGGGCUAAUGACGGUACCGUAAGAAUAAGCACCGGCUAACUACGUGCCAGCAGCCGCGGUAAUACGUAGGGUGCAAGCGUUAAUCGGAAUUACUGGGCGUAAAGCGUGCGCAGGCGGUUAUGUAAGACAGUUGUGAAAUCCCCGGGCUCAACCUGGGAACUGCAUCUGUGACUGCAUAGCUAGAGUACGGUAGAGGGGGAUGGAAUUCCUAGUGUAGCGGUGAAAUGCGUAGAUAUUAGGAAGAACACCAGUGGCGAAGGCGGCUUUCUGGACUGUAACUGACGCUGAGGCACGAAAGCGUGGGGAGCGAACAGGAUUAGAUACCCGGGUAGUC
rnacentral:rRNA from 1 species